UAAGCUGAGAUCUGGAGGAGGGAAGAGGUCCAGAUACUUGCAGAGUUGAGGCCACAGGAACAACAUAUAUGAAACCACCAACCCAAGAAAGAGGGAAAUCAUUUUUACUCGCUGAAGAAGCUGGGACACUCAUUCUGCGGAAUUUCCUCCACUCCAGAUGUUGUGGAUUAUAUAAUCCUCAUAACAAUCACCGCAUUAAUCUCAUGAGAUUGUUGAGCAGAAGCCAGGGACAGCUGUCUUCCUCUGAUGCCCUAUGGUGAUGCCCACAGGAUCUUUCGCCUUUCGGGGUUGAACCCACUAAAAGGUGUGAGAGGAUGAAAGGAUGUGUAUCAUUUAGCAGCCCUGAUAGCUAGGAUUUGACUAAAGGAUCCUAUGCACAGAAACCCAAGAAUCGUAGAAAGGCAAUCAUUUUCCUUCAGGUGUGUUUUUCUCA